rnacentral:rRNA from 1 species
UACGGGGGGAGCAAGCGUUGUUCGGAUUUACUGGGCGUAAAGGGCGCGUAGGCGGCCAGUGCAAGUCAGUUGUGAAAUCUCCGAGCUUAACUCGGAAAGGUCAACUGAUACUGCUCGGCUAGAGUGCGGAAGGGGCAACUGGAAUUCUUGGUGUAGCGGUGAAAUGCGUAGAUAUCAGGAGGAACACCAAUGGCGAAGGCAGCUCGCUGGGACGGUACUGACGCUGAGACGCGAAAGCGUGGGGAGCAAACAGG